rnacentral:rRNA from 1 species
UACGUAGGGCGCGAGCGUUGUCCGGAUUUAUUGGGCGUAAAGAGCUCGUAGGCGGCUUGUCGCGUCGACUGUGAAAUCCCGCGGCUCAACUGCGGGUCUGCAGUCGAUACGGGCAGGCUAGAGUUCGGUAGGGGAGACUGGAAUUCCUGGUGUAGCGGUGAAAUGCGCAGAUAUCAGGAAGAACACCCGUGGCGAAGGCGGUUCUCUGGGACGGUACUGACGCUGAGACGCGAAAGCGUGGGGAGCGAACAGG